rnacentral:rRNA from 1 species
UACCGCAUACGACCUGAGGGUGAAAGCGGGGGACCGUAAGGCCUCGCGCGAUUGGAGCGGCCGAUGUCUGAUUAGCUAGUUGGUGGGGUAAAGGCCCACCAAGGCGACGAUCAGUAGCGGGUCUGAGAGGAUGAUCCGCCACACUGGGACUGAGACACGGCCCAGACUCCUACGGGAGGCAGCAGUGGGGAAUUUUUGGACAAUGGGCGCAAGCCUGAUCCAGCCAUGCCGCGUGAGUGAAGAAGGCCUUCGGGUUGUAAAGCUCUUUCGGCCGGGAAGAAAUCGCACAGGUUAAUACCCUGUGUGGAUGACGGUACCGGAAUAAGAAGCACCGGCUAACUACGUG